UGGGGAAUCUUGGACAAUGGGCGCAAGCCUGAUCCAGCCAUGCCGCGUGAGUGACGAAGGCCUUAGGGUUGUAAAGCUCUUUUGGCGGGGACGAUAAUGACGGUACCCGCAGAAUAAGCCCCGGCUAACUUCGUGCCAGCAGCCGCGGUAAUACGAAGGGGGCUAGCGUUGUUCGGAAUUACUGGGCGUAAAGCGCACGUAGGCGGAUUUGUCAGUCAGGGGUGAAAUCCCGAGGCUCAACCUCGGAACUGCCUCCGAUACAGCAAGUCUCGAGUCCGGAAGAGGUGAGUGGAAUUCCUAGUGUAGAGGUGAAAUUCGUAGAUAUUAGGAAGAACACCAGUGGCGAAGGCGGCUCACUGGUCCGGUACUGACGCUGAGGUGCGAAAGCGUGGGGAGCAAACAGGAUUAGAUACCCCUGUAGUCCCUGAGCGGGCUGGCAAGGCGCAU
rnacentral:rRNA from 1 species